AUACGGAGGGUCCGAGCGUUAUCCGGAAUCAUUGGGUUUAAAGGGUCCGUAGGCGGGAAUCUAAGUCAGUGGUGAAAUCUUGCAGCUCAACUGUAAAAUUGCCAUUGAUACUGGAUUUCUUGAAUUAGUGUGAAGUGGUUAGAAUGUGUAGUGUAGCGGUGAAAUGCAUAGAUAUUACGCAGAAUACCAAUUGCGAAGGCAGAUCACUAACACUAUAUUGACGCUGAGGGACGAAAGCGUGGGGAGCGAACAGGAUUAGAUACCCCAGUAGUCC
rnacentral:rRNA from 1 species